rnacentral:rRNA from 1 species
UAUAAUGCAAGUCGAGCGGACAGAAGGGAGCUUGCUCCCGGAUGUUAGCGGCGGACGGGUGAGUAACACGUGGGUAACCUGCCUGUAAGACUGGGAUAACUCCGGGAAACCGGAGCUAAUACCGGAUAGUUCCUUGAACCGCAUGGUUCAAGGAUGAAAGACGGUUUCGGCUGUCACUUACAGAUGGACCCGCGGCGCAUUAGCUAGUUGGUGAGGUAACGGCUCACCAAGGCGACGAUGCGUAGCCGACCUGAGAGGGUGAUCGGCCACACUGGGACUGAGACACGGCCCAGACUCCUACGGGAGGCAGCAGUAGGGAAUCUUCCGCAAUGGACGAAAGUCUGACGGAGCAACGCCGCGUGAGUGAUGAAGGUUUUCGGAUCGUAAAGCUCUGUUGUUAGGGAAGAACAAGUGCAAGAGUAACUGCUUGCACCUUGACGGUACCUAACCAGAAAGCCACGGCUAACUACGUGCCAGCAGCCGCGGUAAUACGUAGGUGGCAAGCGUUGUCCGGAAUUAUUGGGCGUAAAGGGCUCGCAGGCGGUUUCUUAAGUCUGAUGUGAAAGCCCCCGGCUCAACCGGGGAGGGUCAUUGGAAACUGGGAAACUUGAGUGCAGAAGAGGAGAGUGGAAUUCCACGUGUAGCGGUGAAAUGCGUAGAGAUGUGGAGGAA